UUUGCUAAUUUAUUGCAAGAUAUUAAAAGUUACUACCAAAAAAAAUUGUCAUCCGUACAAAUCGAGUAGUCACCCCGAUUUCACAGUAAUUGUGAGACUGUCUCAUAUAAAUUUUAUAUUUCAAGUAUAAGAAGCUUCUACAAGCAUGGAAGGAAGCCAGGCCCCCACCAAGAACCCCUGAGGAAACAACAAGGCUCAUCACUGAAACCUUGAAACGGCACCAGAAGGCAGAUGUUAAGGGCUUAUUUGCCUCUUCUACGGCUUGCCUUUACCUCAUACACUAAUUGAACUGCCCAAUGGAGUGCCAUCCGCGUUGCCUAAUGGGGUGAAGUACGAGCUCCAUACUUUACCCGUAAGACCCCUUCUCUUGCUUUAAUUCGGAAAACAGCCCAAAACAAGAAGCUUUAACUUAAAAACAAAAACUCAUUGCAACAAUGGACGCAAACAGUGGAUGUAAAGGCAGCAGCGGACGGAGAUACCAUAACUGUAUAUGUCAGUGCUACAGAUCCUCGAGAGUCGUCUUCAGUUCCUAAAGAAGUGCAGCUUGCAGUAAUUCAAAGAUUUAAAGCACGU